AUACGAACCGGACAAACGUUAUUCGGAAUUAUUGGGCUUAAAGGGUGCGUAGGCGGCGCGGUAAGUGAGGUGUGAAAGCCCACGGCUCAACCGUGGAAUUGCGCUUCAUACUGCCGUGCUAGAGGGAGACAGAGGUAAGCGGAACUGAUGGUGGAGCGGUGAAAUGCGUUGAUAUUAUCAGGAACACCGGUGGCGAAGGCGGCUUACUGGGUCUCUUCUGACGCUGAGGCACGAAAGCUAGGGUAGCGAACGGGAUUAGAUACCCCAGUAGUCC
rnacentral:rRNA from 1 species